GGGACGGUCAGUCUACUUCACAACCAGUCUCAGUGUCUCUGAUAGUGUGGAUCUCUGCUGCUGCUGGAUCUCUGAUGAUUGUUGUUGCAGUCAUUGGGAUCUUCUGCAUCUGCAGGAAAUGUAGAAAAACAGUUCAGACCCAGGAAGAAGACAGAAAUAAUUCAGCAUCCUGUCAACAAAAAACACAAAAAAUGAAAUCAAAGAAGGAGGCUGUGUAUGAAAAUUUCCCCAAAAAACGAUGAUCAAAUACCGUGGAAUACUGGAAUAAAUGUGAG